rnacentral:lncRNA from 1 species
ACUGGCUGGAGCCUUGCAGCAGACUUUUGGGUAGUUGAAGGAUAAUGCCAGUGUUGUUGUUGUUGUUGUUACUUGCUUAUAUAGAUGUCUGGACUUGCAAGUAAAAAGUAUCUCUGGGGUUGUGUGUGUGUGUGAGAGAGAGGGGGGGGAUCAAUCUGGGAUGUUCUUCCUCAGGUGCUGUCUACUUGGGUUUGAGCUAGGGUCUCUCAUGGACUUGUAACUCACCAAAUAAGCUAAGCUGGGUGUCCCCAUUUGUCCACUGAGUCCUGGGCUCCACCUGUCUGCCCCCGCAGCACCGGGAUCACACACAAGCCCUUAGGCCCUCCUGAUGGUUUAUUUUUUUCCCCAUGGGUUCGUAGGGAGUGGACUCAGGUCCUUAUCCUUGCAAGGCAGGCAUUUCAGCAGCUGACCCCUCACCCAGCCCAAGAAAUACCUUGAUAACAAGAAAUCUACAGCCCUACACACUUAUCAAUAAUGGCGUUUCUAGUACAUGCAAGCCAUGGUACCACCUGGGACCCAGAGAUGUGAAGACAAACGAGGUGAAGAGGAAUCCGCCUUGGGGGAGCUCAGACCUCAGCUAAGAACAUGCUAUCAGGGAGCAAGUAGCCUGACCGGUUUCGGUUUCACCUUCUGUUCACCUCUGAUGAAAGCAGUUGUUGUCACUGUCCAGAGGACAGCAAUGGAAAAAAGAAACGCAUGAUCUGGACAAGGCAUUCUUGGGAUACACAGCUAUGCUAAUUGAGAGACACUUCUGGAGAUUUUACUGGAGUCCUUUUCAGAUCUGACUGGGGGCUGCAGGUGCCUCGGAAUGAAUCGGCCAUUAAGAGCACCAUCCAUGAAGAUGCUCUGGGAUUGGAGCCUUGCAGCAGACUUUUGGAACCACCCCACCUCCCAUCUUCAACCUUUGGCUUCCCUCUGACUAGCCUUGACACCUAAUGUCCAAACACUGAUAAAAUUGAUCCCUUAAGUGUGGGAAAGUCCUAGCACAUCGAUUGCUUCCUCCUCCGCCCCGUGCCUGGCAUGAACACUCUCCCAGGAUGUGCCUUGCUUGUUAGGUUGGUGGAGGUCAAAGCCCUAAUGAAAAAUGAGUGGAAUGCCACAGGAUCAGGCCAGUCUUGAUAAAUGACAGCAG